GGUUUUGUAGUGUAGCGGUUAUCACUCCGGAUUCUGAUUGGUCCAAAAGACAAAAAAAAAACUCAGAAGCCUUCCGGCAACCCCGGUUCGAUUCCGGGCAAGACCU
rnacentral:tRNA from 1 species